rnacentral:rRNA from 1 species
UGUGAAAUCCCCGGGCUCAACCUGGGAACUGCAUCUGAUACUGGCAAGCUUGAGUCUCGUAGAGGGGGGUAGAAUUCCAGGUGUAGCGAUGAAAUGCGUAGAGAUCUGGAGGAAUACCGGUGGCGAAGGCGGCCCCCUGGACGAAGACUGACGCUCAGGUGCGAAAGCGUGGGGAGCAAACAGGAUUAGAUACCCUGGUAGUCCACGCCGUAAACGAUGUCGACUUGGAGGUUGUGCCCUUGAGGCGUGGCUUCCGGAGCUAACGCGUUAAGUCGACCGCCUGGGGAGUACGGCCGCAAGGUUAAAACUCAAAUGAAUUGACGGGGGCCCGCACAAGCGGUGGAGCAUGUGGUUUAAUUCGAUGCAACGCGAAGAACCUUACCUGGUCUUGACAUCCACGGAAGUUUUCAGAGAUGAGAAUGUGCCUUCGGGAACCGUGAGACAGGUGCUGCAUGGCUGUCGUCAGCUCGUGUUGUGAAAUGUUGGGUUAAGUCCCGCAACGAGCGCAACCCUUAUCCUUUGUUGCCAGCGGUCCGGCCGGGAACUCAAAGGAGACUGCCAGUGAUAAACUGGAGGAAGGUGGGGAUGACGUCAAGUCAUCAUGGCCCUUACGACCAGGGCUACACACGUGCUACAAUGGCGCAUACAAAGAGAAGCGACCUCGCGAGAGCAAGCGGACCUCAUAAAGUGCGUCGUAGUCCGGAUUGGAGUCUGCAACUCGACUCCAUGAAGUCGGAAUCGCUAGUAAUCGUGGAUCAGAAUGCCACGGUGAAUACGUUCCCGGGCCUUGUACACACCGCCCGUCACACCAUGGGAGUGGGUUGCAAAAGAAGUAGGUAGCUUAACCUUCGGGAGGGCGCUUACCACUUUGUGAUUCAUGACUGGGGUGAAGUCGUAACAAGGUAACCGUAGGGGAACCUGCGGUUGGAUCACC